rnacentral:lncRNA from 1 species
UCUCAAUUAUAUUUUUUCUUACAUGCAAAUGAUGCUUCUGAAUGUUUGGUCUUAUUCCUCUAAUUAGUACUACAUACUAGUGUCUUGUCUUCUGAAAUGUACCAUGGGAUGGGAUCACGAAAUCACCAACGCACAAGGCCCUCACAUGAUACUGCAAAUUGGAGACGGUUCGUCAUAGGCGCACUGGAUACAGGAGCGCCCUCCUGUGUUCGGCGCGCCAUAGCACAGUGGUGCAGGGGAG